rnacentral:rRNA from 1 species
GACGAACGCUGGCGGCGUGCCUAAUACAUGCAAGUCGAGCGGACUGAUUAAGAGCUUGCUCUUAUGACGUUAGCGGCGGACGGGUGAGUAACACGUGGCCAACCUGCCCUGUAGAUCGGGAUACCACCGCGAAAUCUGUGCUAAUACCGGGUCAUAUCUGAGAUCACAUGAUCUUAGGUUACACGAUGUCUCCGGCUAUCCCUACAGGAUGGGCCCGCGGCGCAUUAGCUAGUUGGUAAGGUAAUGGCGUACAAAGGCGACGAUGCGUAGCCGACCUUAGAGGGGGAUAGGCCACACAGGGACUGAGACACGGCCCAGACUCCUACGGGAGGCAGCAGUAGGGAAUCUACCGCAAUGGACGAAAGUGUGACGGAGCAACGCCGCGUGAGUGAUGAAGAGGUUCGGCGAGUAAAGCUCUGUUGUUAGGGAAGAAACAGGAACGAACGAACUAGGUCGGUACCUUGACGGUACCUAAACAGAAAGCCACGGCUAACUACGUG